rnacentral:lncRNA from 1 species
CUCCUCCUCGAUGGGGUCCGUGGCAACCUGGGGUCUCGUGGGUGUUUCCGUGCCGCACACUCAGUCCCGCUCCACAGCGCCUCCCAGUGGAGGAGGAGGGGAGGCACGGUGGGGCCUGUGGUUGGCCAGGGGUGGGGCCUGGGCUCCCCGGGGCUGUCCAGCUCCAGGCUACAGCAGGAAUGCAGCUCAAGGCGCUGGAGCCACCAGUGCUCGGGCUGCCCGGCAGGGGUGGGGUUGGGAGAGGAGAGGACGGCUCUGUGGAGUCAGGGUCGCCGCUCAGGACGUGGCUGGUGGAGGAGGCCCCUGCACACUUGUGGGCUCCACCUCGCCUGUGAGAGGAAGAGGCUGGGAGAGCCUAGCACAGCCUUUUCUCCACGUGAGUCCGACCUGGAAGCCAGUGGAAGCCGCAGAGCCCGCCACCUGCCCCGCACCCUGCACCCCGCACCCCGGCUCCUCCCGACCCUGUGGCUGGCGCGGAGCAGUUUGGGAGGGGUUCAAUCUCACCUUCAGGGGCUUCUCCAGUCCAGCUCAAAAGCUCCCUUGCCGCCUGCCCAGCAUGACGGAGGAGGCGUGCUGAAAAGGUUUGGGGUGUGUGGGCGGGGAGUGAUCAGAGAGGCCAACCCUGGACGCCGUGGGCAGCAGCCGUCAGUACAGGGAGUGGGACUGUGCGGAGAGGCAUGGUCACCAGCGGGGCCUGGGCCAGCCUGCAGGCACGAGUGGCUCUGUCCAGGGCUUCUGGCCUGCCCUGGGUUGCUGCACAUUGUCCCCGGGGGCGGUGCCGUGGCUCCAGCACCUGAGAGGGUGGACAGCGCCCCCUCAGGGAAGGUGGGCUGGGCACCUGCGAGGCCCGGUGUGCUCUCUGCCUCCUUUGGCCUCAUGAGCUGGGGAGCAUGGGCCAGACGCCGGAGGUGGGGACAAGCUGAGUCCUGGAGCCACGGGACCCGCCCAAGCUGCCUUCUCUCAGCCCGUCCUUCCCCCAGGAGGCCUUCUGGGCAGCCCCUUAGAAACCCGCGGCCGCACUUGUCGGGGCCUGCGCGGGCGGAGGUCGGCCCCCCUGCGCCCCAGGGCACCUGUUCCGGCUGCAGGCCACCGCUGAACCAGCUCCUCACGUCGAGUGCUCUAGGUCCAUGCCCGUGGACACACACACACACACACGUAGCACCCCUGCUGUAUACACACACACACACACACACACACGUAGCACCCCUGCUGUAUACACACACACACACACACACACACGCGUAG